AACGAACGCUGGCGGCAUGCCUAACACAUGCAAGUCGAACGAGACCUUCGGGUCUAGUGGCGCACGGGUGCGUAACGCGUGGGAACCUGCCCUUAGGUUCGGAAUAACUCCCCGAAAGGGGUGCUAAUACCGGAUAAUGUCUUCGGACCAAAGAUUUAUCGCCUUUGGAUGGGCCCGCGUUGGAUUAGCUAGUUGGUAGGGUAAAAGCCUACCAAGGCGACGAUCCAUAGCUGGUCUGAGAGGAUGAUCAGCCACACUGGGACUGAGACACGGCCCAGACUCCUACGGGAGGCAGCAGUGGGGAAUAUUGGACAAUGGGCGAAAGCCUGAUCCGGCAAUGCCGCGUGAGUGAUGAAGGCCUUAGGGUUGUAAAGCUCUUUUAGCCGGGAUGAUAAUGACAGUACCGGGAGAAUAAGCGCCGGCUAACUCCGUG
rnacentral:rRNA from 1 species